CGUGGCCGACGCCAGAUGCGGUACAGCCAGAGCUCGGCGCUUGGCUGCGCGCGGCAGGCCGGAUGAUUACAGGGGAAAAAAUGCAU